AUAUUUCCUGAGCCUUUGAGCAAAACAAAAUAACUAAUCUUUCAGUUAAGAUGCCUUGAACUUUGCCUUAUUAUGGAAGGUCAAAACUAUGGGGCUUAAAAAUAUUUUAUCACGUUUUUAAGCGUACUUCAGCCUACUUUGAUCUUAAAUCCUGAAUAAAAUCUAAUAAUUUUCUUAAUUGGAAACAGAGUUCACCUAUUUAUACCUCAGUAUAUUUCCAGCUGUCCUGUGAAUGUGUCAGAGUUUUUUUAAAGAUAAUAUUAAUGAACAAACAACAUCAUAAAGAACAAGGAACAAGCCAGAAGCAGAAUUAGAUUUUAGAACAGCAGCUCACUGGUUUUACUGGUUCAACCAGACUGUACCCUCCAGCAGUGACUGGAGCGGUUGCAAUUAGACUCCAGUUCUCAAGCCUCCUCACACUAAUAAAUCUGUUUGUUCUUGAUGUCUGCAGAUUUAUUCCGACUGGGAAUCAAGGAUAAAAAUAUUCAGCAAAAGACCCUAAACAUGCAGCCAGAAUUACAACAGGAUGGAAUAAAUCAAGGGUCAACAUUUGAGAUGUUUUUCAGCUUAAAUACACCAAAUCAAGUAGUUUGGUCCUAAAAGUUGAACAACAUCACAGUUGUUUGUUUGUCCAUGCUUUAGAUCAGAAAAUAUUUGUGUUAUCCCAAAAGAAUGCAUUGAGGUUUAUGGUUAGAAUAACAUGUUGUAUCAAUACAAUCAGAAGCAAAGAUAUGUGGCUCAAAUAUUUAGCAUGAAUUUAAAUAAGAUUGUAGGGAAAGUGACAAACAGGAAAAGAAGAGCAGAAUACUCAAAGCUCCACUGGUUCUUUUGUUCAAAGACACGUUCACAUGUCUAACUCACCUGCUGGUUCACUGAAAGGAAGACGUCUCUCAUCUCAGUCCUCCAACAGAUUCAUGCAGCGGUUUAUUGGGUGGAAAACUAAAUCUGCUGUUUUAAUAACAUGGUUUCAUUCAGAAGGCUGUGUUUGUUCAGUGACUUUCUUCUUCUGCAGUUUUCCUCUGAAUUUUUACAAACUUAUCAGGCUCACAGCUGGAACUAAUCAGACAAAUGAUGAGGCUUGCACCAGCAGAAGGUGUCUGAGCUGCUUCAGCUUAAACAUUAAAGCUGGAGUUCAGCUUCAUCCCUUCAUAACACAGUUACUUUUAAUCAGAUAUGUAACUGUUUCAUUCAAACCUCCAGGUUGGCUGGGUUUGUAAAUAAAAUCUGACACAUUUUUGGUCUGUUUUGUCUGAGUUUCUUUGCAACCAGUCAGAAAAAAUGACACAUUUAAUUUUAAAAAAGGCCCUGCCAGAAAUAAACACAUACCUGAACUGACACACAUUAUAUU